CUGAUAUAGGGUGUUGAUGUCAUUAGACCACACCCCUUCUCAUUACAGAGAUGCACAUCACCUAAUAUGCUUAAUAGGUAGUAGGCUUUCGAGCCUAUAUAGCUUGGAGUAAGACAACAUGCAUAAAGAGGAUGAUGUGGUCAAAAUACUCAUUUGCCUAAUAAUUCUGCACUCCCUGUAUAGUUAAAUCCCCCUCUCAUA